rnacentral:rRNA from 1 species
GAACAAGUACCGGAGUAACUGCCGGUACCUUGACGGUACCUAACCAGAAAGCCACGGCUAACUACGUGCCAGCAGCCGCGGUAAUACGUAGGUGGCAAGCGUUGUCCGGAAUUAUUGGGCGUAAAGCGCGCGCAGGCGGUUCCUUAAGUCUGAUGUGAAAGCCCCCGGCUCAACCGGGGAGGGUCAUUGGAAACUGGGGAACUUGAGUGCAGAAGAGAAGAGUGGAAUUCCACGUGUAGCGGUGAAAUGCGUAGAGAUGUGGAGGAACACCAGUGGCGAAGGCGACUCUUUGG